UACGAAGGGGGCUAGCGUUGUUCGGAAUUACUGGGCGUAAAGCGCACGUAGGCGGUACUACUGAAGUCAGGGUGAAAUCCCGGGCUCAACCCGGAACUGCCUUUGAUACUGAUAGUCUCGAGUCCGGAAGAGGUGAGUGGAAUUCGAGUGUAGAGGUGAAAUUCGUAGAUAUUCGGAGGAAACACCACGUGGCGGCAAGGA
rnacentral:rRNA from 1 species